rnacentral:rRNA from 1 species
GAUGAACGCUGGCGGCGUGCCUAAUACAUGCAAGUCGAGCGAACAGACGAGGAGCUUGCUCCUCUGACGUUAGCGGCGGACGGGUGAGUAACACGUGGAUAACCUACCUAUAAGACUGGGAUAACUUCGGGAAACCGGAGCUAAUACCGGAUAAUAUAUUGAACCGCAUGGUUCAAUAGUGAAAGACGGUUUUGCUGUCACUUAUAGAUGGAUCCGCGCCGCAUUAGCUAGUUGGUAAGGUAACGGCUUACCAAGGCGACGAUGCGUAGCCGACCUGAGAGGGUGAUCGGCCACACUGGAACUGAGACACGGUCCAGACUCCUACGGGAGGCAGCAGUAGGGAAUCUUCCGCAAUGGGCGAAAGCCUGACGGAGCAACGCCGCGUGAGUGAUGAAGGUCUUCGGAUCGUAAAACUCUAUUAUUAGGGAAGAACAAAUGUGUAAGUAACUAUGCACGUCUUGACGGUACCUAAUCAGAAAGCCACGGCUAACUACGUG